UACAGAGGUCUCAAGCGUUGUUCGGAUUCAUUGGGCGUAAAGGGUGCGUAGGCGGCGCGGUAAGUCGGAUGUGAAAUCUCGGAGCUUAACUCCGAAACUGCAUUCGAUACUGCCGUGCUUGAGGACUGGAGAGGAGACUGGAAUUUACGGUGUAGCGGUGAAAUGCGUAGAUAUCGUAAGGAAGACCAGUGGCGAAGGCGGGUCUCUGGACAGUUCCUGACGCUGAGGCACGAAGGCCCAGGGGGAGCAAAACGGG
rnacentral:rRNA from 1 species